rnacentral:rRNA from 1 species
AUACGGAGGGUCCAAGCGUUAUCCGGAUUCAUGGGGUUUAAAGGGUCCGCAGGCGGGAAAAUAAGUCAGUGGUGAAAGCCUACAGCUCAACUGUAGAACUGCAUUGAAACUGUUUUUCUUGAGUAUAGAUGAAGUGGGCGGAAUAUAUCAUGUAGCGGUGAAAUGCAUAGAUAUGAUAUAGAACACCGAUUGCGAAGGCAGCUCACUAAACUAUUACUGACGCUCAGGGACGAAAGCGUGGGGAGCGAACAGGAUUAGAAACCCUAGUAGUCC